AAAUGCGAUAAUUAAUGUGAAUUGCAGAAUUCAGUGAAUCAUCGAGUCUUUGAACGCACAUUGCGCCCCCUGGUAUUCCGGGGGGCAUGCCUGUCCGAGCGUCAUUGCUGCCCUCAAGCACGGCUUGUGUGUUGGGCUUCCGUCCCUGGCAACGGGGACGGGCCCAAAAGGCAGUGGCGGCACCAUGUCUGGUCCUCGAGCGUAUGGGGCUUUGUCACCCGCUCCCGUAGGUCCAGCUGGCAGCUAGCCUCGCAACCAAUCUUUUUAACCAGGUUGACCUCGGAUCAGGUAGGGAUACCCGCUGAACUUAAG
rnacentral:misc_RNA from 1 species